AGCCUCAAGGGAAGGAUUCUAACAGUCUAGCAAACAUUGAGAUGACUAAGAACUAACAACCAGAGUCCUGUUACUGCAGUGAGGUUAAGGCUAGUUCUGAGCUCCACGUUUCCUGGUGCUGGAAUCCUCCCUUACCUAGCUAGUGUCACUACUGGAAGAGAGAUGCUUCAUUCCUAUUCCUCUACCCACCCAACAGAUACUGUGAGGUCUUACCUUGGUGAUUCCAGAAUUCUAAAAUAAAUGGAAAGAGCCUCAACUAUCAAACUGACAAUGCAAUAGUUUUCUGAAAUGCUGAAAGAAAAGAAAGGCUUGGAUCAUGAAGAACUCAAAAGUAGGACUGAAAUUUUUUCUCCAAAUACAGCCACUGGGCAGCUAUUUGAAGACAUAAUUGGAUUUGAGUCUCAUCCAAAGAGUCAGAAAGACUCUUACGGGAAACAGCAGGAGUGUCACGUGAAUACAAGCUUACAAAUGACAACAGCAUUACAGUGGACUCUGGAAUUUUGCCGAGCACUAAGUUGUAUCUGCUGGUUUUUCCUGGCAUGACUUUCAUUUCUCAGAAAGGGAUAAAGAAAGUCCCUGGCAACCUGAGCACUGCAGUCUUCCUUUGGCACCAGCUAAAAGUCUAAGGACGAUUUUCCCUGGACUAAGUGGGAUCACAUGCUAAUCCCUACCAUCCUUGUAGGCCAAGGUACAGAAUGUUCUGAUUAUACACACACGGAAUCAUGUGCCUAUCUCUGGAGCUUUAUAGCAGGACCGGCAGCAGCUUGAGAACACAGACAGAAGUUGAAGAGGAGCGUUUCCCUUAUAGAAGAUAAAAAUAAAGAAUGGCCAGUGAAUGGUGGGCA
rnacentral:lncRNA from 12 species